rnacentral:rRNA from 1 species
CUUCGCCUACGGGGGGCAGCAGUGAGGAAUAUUGGUCAAUGGGCUAAGGCCUGAACCAGCCAAGUCGCGUGAGGGAAGACGGUCCUAUGGAUUGUAAACCUCUUUUGUCGGGGAGCAACGAGGCCACGUGUGGCCGAAGUGAGAGUACCCGAAGAAAAAGCAUCGGCUAACUCCGUGCCAGCAGCCGCGGUAAUACGGAGGAUGCGAGCGUUAUCCGGAUUUAUUGGGUUUAAAGGGUGCGCAGGCGGCGAGUUAAGUCAGCGGUAAAAUUUCGGGGCUCAACCCCGACAAGCCGUUGAAACUGG